rnacentral:lncRNA from 1 species
UUUAUUCAGAAAAGAAGCACAUGUGAAAAUUUCUUAAUUGUUCACAAAGCUCUCCUACUUUCAUAUGUAAAGGAAGUAUGAAAAUGUAAUAAUAGUAAGUUGGAGCCUAAUAAAUUGUGAUUGUUGAGAGAAAAACAUAAAAACAGGCUUACUCAAGCAUUUAUACCUGCAGUCUCUUCUCAAUUUCUUUACUUCAAGUAACAGCUUAGAUCUCUGAACUAUUAGUACUGCACUCUCCACCUCCUACCUCUGAGAUGCCAUGCAAACCAUAGAGAGGUAGCAGGUGGCCCCAGUUUGUGCCUCUAGCCACAAGCCAGGAGGCUGUGAUAGCCUGCUGCUGACUCCUCCUGGGCUCUGAACACCUUGAGUGAAACACCUGAUUUAGGCAGGAGCAGGAUACCUGGAUUGAGGACCUCAAUGAGAUCCUCUUAUUGCAUAUUGUACUUGAAUGGACUCUCAUUGCCAAAGUUUUGAUUAAGUAAAUGUCGUAACUGGAAAUUAAAUUAU